GUAGGAGGAGGUGGAUGGAGUGAAGGUUAAGCAGCAUUGGGUUGGGGGAUGGUGAAGCAGUGUUUCUGGGUGGAUUAAGCUCUUCUGUCUCUUCCUUUUGGGGCACCUGAGCUCCAUUUCUGCUGUAAGCAACGUGUCUGAGGCUGCAGUAGUUGGGCAGGUGGAGCAGCACCAUCAUGUCUGAUUUCCUUGGAAGCCUUGUGCUACAGGGCAAGAGCUGUCAGGUUGUACAAGCGCUGGUGGUCAUAGGAGAGACAGCUUCGUCACCCACCCUUCCAGUGGCAGAGAUGCAUGUGAUGGCUGGAAGAGAAGAGGUUAAUCAGUUAAAUAUGUGACAACUGGAAGAAAAGCAUACAUCCUACAUUUUCUGUUACUUGUUUUACCAUCCAUUCAUGGAGAGAGUGUGUGUAUUUUGUGAAUCUACUCAGUAUCAUUUGUUUUUCAUAAAGUUGUUUUUUUCUUUUUAAUAUCAAAUUUGUGAGGGUAGCCCUUCAGAAAGGAGGAGAUGACUCUCCUUUCUGGACUUGAAAGCAUCAGCUGCCUUUUAAAACUCCCUAGACAAUUGCCUUGUAUUGCUGGCGUUCUGAUCCUGUUCUGCGUGAUGAAUAACUAAGCACCUAAGGUUGUCAUCCUCCCUUCUAUCAAAGUCUCAUGCUAUCUCUCAGAAAUUCAAAACAUCUUCAGAGGGCAUAAAUAAGCACUUGGCUACUGUGACGAAUUUGCUCCAACAUCCAGGAUGGAACUGAUGAAGACUUCCAGCAACACAGAUACAAUUGCAUUUUGUCUCUAAAUAGCAUCCCAGGUCUCAUUAGCAAGUAGCACUGCUAAGUUAGAAUGACCUCAUCCACCGUAAAAUAACCAGAAUGUGAUCACUGAGGCUGAUGUCAGCAUGGAUAGUUCCGAAACAGCAAGGUGCUCCAGGAGGGUGCAGAAAAUGCAUUCAGAAGUACAACAACCAAACAAAUCAGCGUGGAUAUAAAAAA